rnacentral:tRNA from 1 species
GCCCCGAUAGUUCAGUGGUCAAGUAUACUGCCCUCUGAAGGCGGUGACCUCGGUUCGAAUCCGAGUGGGGCU